CAAUAGCGUAUACUAAUGUUGUUGCAGUUAAAAAGCUCGUAGUUGAACUUCUGGUAGGAGUGUCCCGGCCUUUUUGUUUUUACAAAUUGUAUGCUGUGUGACAUCUCUGGUCAUCCUUCUUCUUUGUUUAAAGAAGAUCUUUCACUGUAAAAAAAUUAGGGUGUUCAAAGCAAAAGUUUCUUUGGAAUAUAUUAGUAUGGGAUGAUAAGAUAGGCUCUAGAUGCUAUUUUGUUGGUUUGCACAUUUAGAGAAUGAUUAACAGGGACAGUUGGGGGUAUUCGUAUUUACAUGUCAGAGGUGAAAUUCUUGGAUUUUGGAAAGACGAACUACUGCGAAAGCAUUUACCAAGGAUGUUUUCAUUAA
rnacentral:rRNA from 1 species